GAUGAACGCUGGCGGCGUGCCUAAUACAUGCAAGUCGAGCGAACAGACGAGGAGCUUGCUCCUCUGACGUUAGCGGCGGACGGGUGAGUAACACGUGGAUAACCUACCUAUAAGACUGGGAUAACUUCGGGAAACCGGAGCUAAUACCGGAUAAUAUAUUGAACCGCAUGGUUCAAUAGUGAAAGACGGUUUUGCUGUCACUUAUAGAUGGAUCCGCGCCGCAUUAGCUAGUUGGUAAGGUAACGGCUUACCAAGGCAACGAUGCGUAGCCGACCUGAGAGGGUGAUCGGCCACACUGGAACUGAGCCACGGUCCAGACUCCUACGGGAGGCAGCAGUAGGGAAUCUUCCGCAAUGGGCGAAAGCCUGACGGAGCAACGCCACGUGAGUGAUGAAGGUCUUCGGAUCGUAAAACUCUGUUAUUAGGGAAGAACAAAUGUGUAAGUAACUAUGCACGUCUUGACGGUACCUAAUCAGAAAGCCACGGCUAACUACGUG
rnacentral:rRNA from 1 species